GACGAACGCUGGCGGCGUGCCUAAUACAUGCAAGUCGAGCGGACUUGACAGAGCUUGCUCUGUUCAAGUUAGCGGCGGACGGGUGAGUAACACGUGGGCAACCUGCCCUGCAGAUUGGGAUAACUCCGGGAAACCGGGGCUAAUACCGAAUAAGAUGGAAAACCUCAUGGUUUUCUUUUAAAACGCGGCCUCGGCUGUCACUGAAGGGUGGGCCCGCGGCGCAUUAGCUAGUUGGUGAGGUAACGGCUCACCAAGGCGACGAUGCGUAGCCGACCUGAGAGGGUGAUCGGCCACACUGGGACUGAGACACGGCCCAGACUCCUACGGGAGGCAGCAGUAGGGAAUCUUCCGCAAUGGACGAAAGUCUGACGGAGCAACGCCGCGUGAGUGAAGAAGGUUUUCGGAUCGUAAAACUCUGUUGUUAGGGAAGAACAAGUAUCGGAGUAACUGCCGGUACCUUGACGGUACCUGACCAGAAAGCCACGGCUAACUACGUGCCAGCAGCCGCCGUAAAAC
rnacentral:rRNA from 1 species